rnacentral:lncRNA from 1 species
GUUCCUGCUCCGGCUCCUGCGGGGAUGGAUGCUUCACGCAGUAAGCGAGUAAGCGAGCCCUGGAGACCGGGGCCCUGGGUGUGCGGUCGGCUCAGUGCCACGCGGUGAGAUAGGCAUGGUUAUCAACCCACGCCAAGGCGGUUGUGUACCUGGCAUAGAAAACACUGCUGUUGAAUGUUGUUUCCAUAGUCAUUCGCCAGCGUCCACUGAUGAGAGGUGCCACCACGGACACCCGGCCUUGCUCCGUCGAAGCUUUGGUCCAUUAGGACCAAAGUCAGGCCCCAGCGGGCCUCCCUGCCAUUCCUGGACGGCCUCGCGUCCUCCCAGAGCCUGACCUUCUCUUAUCUCUGCAGCCUAAGUCGCGGAAGCGUAGACACCCGGCUUUUCCCGCGUGCUCUAUCGGGCUCCCCUGGACACGGAGGGUGGAGCAGAAAGAGCAGAGGGGCCGGUGGGAGCCAUGGGGAGUCCGCCUAGCUCCAGAGGACACCUUACCUGGAUCCGCCUUUGUAGCCUCCUCCUGGCUCUGGGGGCUGUCCUGUGGGGUCCGAGUAGCUGAAAGACAGCCCCUCCAUGUGAGGAAGCCCCCAACUGGGGAAAACCCCCUCGUGGACUCAUUCCUGUCCCUGCAUGUGGCCUUCACCUGACUGUCUGCAUUGAGGCAUCCUCUGCCAAGAGCAAUUUCAAAGUGGAAAGUGCUGCUUUCAACAUCUGCCACAUUUGCAAGAAGAGCAAAGGUGGCCCAUUUGAGACCACCCUUGAACUAAACCAUCCAGUGAGCCCCUGAGGUCGGGACAGAAGUGGCCAUGACCUUCCUCAAGCAGGGACUGUGGUGGAGCCCACCUUAUCCAGCACAAGGUGGCCUGCUGACUUCUGGUGACAGUGAUGCCAACUUCCUGGCUGUCCAAGAAGCUGACAAGUACCUGCCGGAAAAACUGCCUCUUUUCCCUCCCGUGCUUGGAGCAGGCAUUGCUGACAGAUCACAGCUGCUGGGCCCAAAGGUCCCUUUGCACGCGGGACUUCAGGAAGUUGCUGCUGACCUAUGGGAGUUGGUGCAGAAAGAUGAAAUUUGUUAUCCUUGGCUGUAUCAACUCUCUCUCCUCUCCUUGGUGGUGAUAGUUUUGUUCUUAAAAGCCUCUUGUGAGAGAAUUUGUGGAUGAAGAACCUGUAAGAUCACAAGUGAAACAAUUUAUUGAUGUCAAUAGAUUUAUACACGUUCAUUAAGAAUCAAAACUAAACUAAAA